GUGAAUCAUCAAAUUUUUGAACGCAUAUUGCACUCUCUGGUAUUCCGGAGAGUAUGCAUGUUUGAGGGUCAUUAAAAAGACUCCUAACCAAUUUUUUUUGGACAAAGGAAAUGAGUUCUCAGAGUAUAUAGCGGUAGCUUGAAAUAAAUGGUCAAGUAUAAUUUUAGUCGAGGAGUGUAAUAAUUUUAUUUUGCGAAAUCAAC
rnacentral:misc_RNA from 1 species